GCGUCGGUAGUGCAACGGUUAGCAUACGCUCUCGGAAACAGUGAGAUCUGGGUUAGAAUCCCGGCUGACGCA